GAUCAUGGCUCAGGACGAACGCUGGCGGCGUGCUUAACACAUGCAAGUCGAACGGAGAACUUUCUUCGGAAUGUUCUUAGUGGCGAACGGGUGAGUAACGCGUAGGCAACCUGCCUUCUGGUUGGGGACAACAUUCCGAAAGGGAUGCUAAUACCGAAUGUGAUCCUUCUUUCGCAUGAAGGAAGGAUGAAAGAUGGCCUCUACUUGUAAGCUAUCGCCAGAAGAUGGG
rnacentral:rRNA from 1 species